rnacentral:lncRNA from 1 species
CUGCGACGAACGGAGAGCAAAAAGCUCUCCUCCGAAGGGCUGAGGGAUCGGCCAGCAGCAGUGCUGGGUGCCAAACUGCCGCAGCUCAGCUCGGGGGUUGCGUUCACUGAGCUCUGAAGGUUCUGGACUCCCCGUUCUGCAGUGCAGGAGCUGCACCUCUGAAGGCCAUCUGGUCCCACCCCCUGCGAUAAGCGGGGACACCCACAGCUCCAUCAGGUGCUCAGAGCCCACCCAGUCUGACCUUGGCUGUACCCAUGGAUGGGACGUCCACCACCACAGCACUCAGCUCUCCAGGAGCAGGCUGACACACGGACCUGGAGGAGAAGGGCAAGUUGUCGUGGCCGGCGCUGGCGCAGCAGUAGAAGCCCUGCAGGGUUUUCACCACCCGUCCUCUCGCUGGGCUGAUGUUUGAUUGCAUCCCACAGCAGCAGACUGGAGCUCCACAAACACAUGGGGAAGGCACAGCUCAUGCCAAAGGCUGUUCCCAG